rnacentral:ncRNA from 1 species
AGUAAAUAAUGCAAACAAAGGAAACAUAGCAUAUACACUAAAAUGUCAGUACACAUAGAAUUUGAUUAAAUUAUUAUUGUCACAUACCACUGCUAUUUGCACCAUUGUUAUUCUAAUUGCUAAACUGCGCAUGAAUGGAUUAACGAGAUUCUCACUGUCCCUAUUUACUAUGAAGCGAAACCACAAUCAAGGGAACAGGCUUGGCAAACAGAAAACACUGUUGAGUUUCGGUUAGAUGAGAAAUGAGAGAUGGAAAUGCAAGCUUACGUGCACAAAUUAAUGAAGAUGAUACGGGUAAUCAGUUGACUGUUAGCUGAUGACUUUUUUUUAUUUCAUAGGCUACUAUGUUUCUUAUUUCUCAUGUUUCGAAAUUUUUGAUUUAAGUUAAGUCACUUUGUAAUUUAACGACUCGCACCGAAGACAGUUCGACUGGGUGGUACAUCUGUCAACGCAGGUGUCCUAAGGCUAGUUCAGAGAGAAAGGAAACCUUUCGUAGAGUAAAAGUAAAAGGUAAAGUAGAGUAAAAGGUAAAGGCUCGUUUGAUCUUGAUUUUUAGUACGAAUACAGACCACGAAAGCGUGGCCUAUCGAUCCUUUUGAAUUUCUUAGAAGUUUCUAGCAAGAGGUGUCAGAAAAACACACACACAAGGAUCACUGGCUUGUGGCAGCCAAGCGUUCAUAGCGACGUUGCUUUUUGAUCCUUCGAUGUCGGCUCUUUCUAUCAUUGCGAGGCAUUGGAUUGUAUACCACCAGUAAGGAAUGUGAACUGGGUUUAAA